rnacentral:lncRNA from 1 species
AACUAGGGCCCGGAGCCCGGGGUGCUGGAGGGAGGCGGCAGGCCCGGGUCAGGGGCCUCGAGAUCGGGCUUGGGCCCAGAGCAUGUUCCAGAUCCCAGAGUUUGAGCCGAGUGAGCAGGAAGACUCCAGCUCUGCAGAGAGGGGCCUGGGCCCCAGCCCCGCAGGGGACGGGCCCUCAGGCUCCGGCAAGCAUCAUCGCCAGGCCCCAGGCCUCCUGUGGGACGCCAGUCACCAGCAGGAGCAGCCAACCAGCAGCAGCCAUCAUGGAGGGAGAACUUCGUAUUCUCCUUCUUGGGAAUCUGAGGACUCUGAAAAUCCCAGUGCAGGGAUGCUCGCGGAAGCAUCAGCAGGGAUGUCCGCCCCAGCCGCUGACUCAGAAGCCCAACACGCAGAGAAUGUAAAGCUAGAGGUGCCAUGCUGGGGCCUGGGGCACUUCUAGCCACAGCCACUACCCUCCACUUCCACACCCAGCUCCGGGCCAGGCUCUAGGCGGAUGGCAAGAGUGGGCAGGCCUGGGCACCCACCCACGUUCACACCCAAGGAGGAGCCACA